AUGGUGGUGGGAUGGACUUUUCUUUCACCCUGGAGGCUGAGUUCAGCGCCUGGCAGGGCCGUCGACCCCCCCAUGCAAGUUGCUCUAGCGUCUGGCAGGUUUCGUAAGGAGAAGACGAUGAGGGCACCAGGAGACGAGGAGAAGGAGCUGCAGAAGGUGACACCAGGCAAUGAGACGACCGAUCUGGACCAUGGUCCUGCAGUCCAAGGAGAUGUCAAACGGAUUGCAGGAAAUUCGUCUGCACAAUUACAUUCAGUGCAGCUGUGGAGGAUGGAGACAACAGACACCAUAGGACUACCUGGAGAGAAGUUGUCACCUGUGUGUAUAGAGGCUCAAUGCUCAUCCUUCGCCUCUUUGCUCCCUCCAGCCUCCGGUCCCGACAGAGGGGAGCCUCCCAGUGCUAACCACAUAGAGGAAGUGUCUUUAUCACUGCUCCCUCUGUGCUGCUGGGUUUGGGAGACUCCUCACAUAAUCAGUGGUGUUGACCUCCAUCUGUAAACAGAAGACAGUCAAGACAAGUCAUAUUCAUAAAUAAUUUGAAACAAAUUGUAAUAAAUACGUUUCAUGUUAAACCUCA
ensembl:lncRNA